rnacentral:rRNA from 1 species
CCCUUAGAUGUUCUGGGCCGCACGCGUGCUACACUGAGUGGAUCAGCGGGUCAGGUUGCGCGAAAGUGUUUCCUAAUCUUGAAAUCCGCUCGUGAUGGGGAUUGACGGUUGCAACUUUCUGUCAUGAACGAGGAAUACCUUGUAAGCGCGGGUCAUCAUCCCGCGCUGAAUACGUCCCUGCCCUUUGUACACACCGCCCGUCGCUCCUACCGAUUGAGUGGUCCGGUGAGGCUUUGGGAUCUGAGCGGAAAGAGCGUUUCGCUGUUUCUGCUCGGAAAACUCAGUCGAACCUUAUCAUUUAGAGGAAGGAGAAGUCGUAACA